rnacentral:rRNA from 1 species
UGGGGAAUAUUGCACAAUGGGCGCAAGCCUGAUGCAGCCAUGCCGCGUGUAUGAAGAAGGCCUUCGGGUUGUAAAGUACUUUCAGUCGGGAGGAAGGUGGUAAGGUUAAUAACCUUAUCAAUUGACGUUACCGACAGAAGAAGCACCGGCUAACUCCGUGCCAGCAGCCGCGGUAAUACGGAGGGUGCAAGCGUUAAUCGGAAUUACUGGGCGUAAAGCGCACGCAGGCGGUUGAUUGAGUCAGAUGUGAAAUCCCCGGGCUUAACCCGGGAAUUGCAUCUGAUACUGGUCAGCUAGAGUCUUGUAGAGGGGGGUAGAAUUCCAUGUGUAGCGGUGAAAUGCGUAGAGAUGUGGAGGAAUACCGGUGGCGAAGGCGGCCCCCUGGACAAAGACUCACGCUCAGGUGCGAAAGCGUGGGGAGCAAACAGG